GACGUAGGAUGCAAGCGUUGUCCGGAUUUAUUGGGCGUAAAGAGUUCGUAGGUGGUUUGUUAAGUCUGAUGUUAAAGACUGGGGCUCAACCUCGGAAAUGCAUUGGAUACUGGCAGACUUGAGUGCAGUAGAGGCAAGCGGAAUUCCAGGUGUAGCGGUGAAAUGCGUAGAUAUCUGGAAGAACACCGGUGGCGCAAGCGGCUUGCUGGGCUGUAACUGACACUGAGAAACGAAAGCUAGGGGAGCAAAUGGG
rnacentral:rRNA from 1 species